GAUGAACGCUGGCGGCGUGCCUAAUACAUGCAAGUCGAGCGAACGGACGAGAAGCUUGCUUCUCUGAUGUUAGCGGCGGACGGGUGAGUAACACGUGGAUAACCUACCUAUAAGACUGGGAUAACUUCGGGAAACCGGAGCUAAUACCGGAUGAUAUUUUGAACCGCAUGGUUCAAAAGUGAAAGGCGGUCUUGCUGUCACUUAUAGAUGGAUCCGCGCUGCAUUAGCUAGUUGGUAAGGUAACGGCUUACCAAGGCAACGAUGCAUAGCCGACCUGAGAGGGUGAUCGGCCACACUGGAACUGAGACACGGUCCAGACUCCUACGGGAGGCAGCAGUAGGGAAUCUUCCGCAAUGGGCGAAAGCCUGACGGGGCAACGCCGCGUGAGUGAUGAAGGUCUUCGGAUCGUAAAACUCUGUUAUUAGGGAAGAACAUAUGUGUAAGUAACUGUGCACAUCUUGACGGUACCUAAUCAGAAAGCCACGGCUAACUACGUG
rnacentral:rRNA from 1 species